CCUACGGGAGGCAGCAGUGGGGAAUAUUGCACAAUGGGGGAAACCCUGAUGCAGCGACACCGCGUGAGUGAAGAAGGAAUUCGUGAUGGAAAGCUCUAUCAGCAGGGACGAAAAUGACGGUACCUGAGUAAGAAGCCCCGGCUAACUACGUGACAGCAGCCGCGGUAAUACGUAGGGGGCAAGCGUUAUCCGGAGUUACUGGGUGUAAAGGGAGCGUAGACGGCAGUGCAAGUCUGGAGGGAAAGGCGGGGGCUCCACACCCGGACUGCGCUUGAAACUGUACGGCUGGAGUGAAGGAGAGGUAAGUGGAAUUCGUAGUGUAGCGGUGACAUGCGUAGAUAUUACGAGGAACCCCAGUGGCGAAGGCGGCGUACUGGCCUGUAACUGACGUUGAGGCUCGAAAGCGUGGGGAGCAAACAGGAUUAGAUACCCCAGUAGUC
rnacentral:rRNA from 1 species